rnacentral:rRNA from 1 species
GACGUAGGGGGCCAGCGUUGUUCGGAAUUACUGGGGGUAAAGGGUUCGUAGGCGGUGCGGCAAGUCGGGAGUGAAAUCUCUGGGCUCAACCCAGAGGCUGCUUCCGAAACUGCUGUGCUUGAGUGUGGGAGAGGCGCGUGGAAUUGCAGGUGUAGCGGUGAAAUGCGUAGAUAUUCGCAAGAACACCAGUGGCGAAGGCGGCUCACUGGCCCGGUACUGACGCUGAGGUGCGAAAGCGUGGGGAGCAAACAGG